AACGAACGCUGGCGGCAGGCUUAACACAUGCAAGUCGAACGUAUCCUUCGGGGUGAGUGGCAGACGGGUGAGUAACGCGUGGGAACGUGCCCUUCAGUUCGGGAUAACCCAGGGAAACUUGGGCUAAUACCGGAUACGUGCGAGAGCAGAAAGAUUUAUCGCUGAAGGAACGGCCCGCGUCUGAUUAGCUAGUUGGUGGGGUAAUGGCCCACCAAGGCGACGAUCAGUAGCUGGUCUGAGAGGAUGAUCAGCCACAUUGGGACUGAGACACGGCCCAAACUCCUACGGGAGGCAGCAGUGGGGAAUAUUGGACAAUGGGCGCAAGCCUGAUCCAGCCAUGCCGCGCGAGUGAUGAAGGCCUUAGGGUUGUAAAGCUCUUUCGUCCGGGACGAUAAUGACGGUACCGGAAGAAGAAGCCCCGGCUAACUUCGUGCCAGCAGCCGCAGUAA
rnacentral:rRNA from 1 species